CCAGGAGCUGCUGGAAGAAGGUGCUUCAUCUCUGCAGUGCUUGGAACCCUGGCUGUCAAAGAAAACGGGAGUGCCGAGUGUAACAAUGGCCCCAGGAAUUCAAGCCAAGGAGCCCAAGAGGGGCCAGAUGGUGCCUUCAUUACUGGUGCCAGAACUGUGGUGUUUCUCUGAAUGUAAGACUUUGACGCAGACUCUGAAAUAUUAUCACAUCAAAUGGAGGUUCCCAUGAUUUUCUUUCUCCUCAUGGAAAAGUGUUUGGUCAGAAGGGAAACAAACCAAUUAAGGUGACACCAAAGGAUGAUCCUUGAUACAGUUAUAUUUUGGUGGAGCGUUGAGAUUCGCCAAUGAACUCUAACAGUGAGGAUGGCACUGGAAUAAAAAGAGAAGAAACAAGUACUAGAAGCCAAAAAACCUUGUCUUAUUUUCUUUGAGAAAAGGGUGCUCUAGCUAAUAAUAGCAACAGGGUUUCCACAUGUGCUGUGCUGUUAUUGUUGCCUGCAACAAAAGAACAACUUUGAAUAAUGAACAGUCUAUCUUCACAGCAGGACACUGUUCUACAGGGAGGCCCUCAAUUAUGGUGUAUUUAAUAAUUAGAAAUAUGAGCAAGAAUUGACCUUCCAAGUUGCACAUAUUAUUAUUCACUUUACCUGCUCAAUGUCACAGUGGGUGCUGUCAUGAAGACUGUGACUAAAAACCCUAAUAAAGACUUCUCUGCCAAGUCCCAUAAAUAAUCUGUUUGCCAAAUGUG